UACGUAGGGGGCAAGCGUUGUCCGGAAUCAUUGGGCGUAAAGAGCGCGUAGGCGGUCCGGUAAGUCCGCUCUGAAAGUCCGGGGCUCAACCCCGGGAGGCGGGCGGAUACUGUCGGGCUAGAGUCCGGAAGGGGCGAGUGGAAUUCCUGGUGUAGCGGUGAAAUGCGCAGAUAUCAGGAGGAACACCAAUGGCGAAGGCAGCUCGCUGGGACGGUACUGACGCUGAGGCGCGAAAGCGUGGGGAGCAAACAGG
rnacentral:rRNA from 1 species